rnacentral:rRNA from 1 species
UUCUGACCUCAAAUCAGGUGGGACUACCCGCUGAACUUAAGC